AUUGAACGCUGGCGGCAGGCCUAACACAUGCCAGUCGAGCGGAUGAAGGGAGCUUGCUCCUGGAUUCAGCGGCGGACGGGUGAGUAAUGCCUAGGAAUCUGCCUGGUAGUGGGGGAUAACGUCCGGAAACGGGCGCUAAUACCGCAUACGUCCUGAGGGAGAAAGUGGGGGAUCUUCGGCCUCACGCUAUCAGAUGAGCCUAGGUCGGAUUAGCUAGUUGGUGGGGUAAAGGCCUACCAAGGCGACGAUCUGUAACUGGUCUGAGAGGAUGAUCAGUCACACUGGAACUGAGACACGGUCCAGACUCCUACGGGAGGCAGCAGUGGGGAAUAUUGGACAAUGGGCGAAAGCCUGAUCCAGCCAUGCCGCGUGUGUGAAGAAGGUCUUCGGAUUGUAAAGCACUUUAAGUUGGGAGGAAGGGCAGUAAGUUAAUACCUUGCUGUUUUGACGUUACCAACAGAAUAAGCACCGGCUAACUUCGUG
rnacentral:rRNA from 1 species